AUCGAACGCUGGCGGCAGGCCUAACACAUGCAAGUCGAACGAGUGGCAGACGGGUGAGUAAUGUCUGUGAAACUGCUCGAUGGAGGGGGAUAACUUCUGGAAACGGUUGUUAAUACCGCAAACCAUCGGAUGUGCCCAGAUGGGAUUAGCUAGUAGGGGGGGUAACGGCUCACCUAGGCGACGAUCCCUAGCUGGUCGGAGAGGAUGCCCAGCCACCCGGGAACGUGGACACGGUCCAGACUCCUACGGGAGGCAGCAGUGGGGAAUAUUGCGCAAGGGGCGCAAGCCUGAUGCAGCCAUGCCGCGUGUAUGGAGAAGGCCUUGGGGUUGUAAAGUACUUUCGGCGAGGAGGCGUUACUCGCAGAAGAAGCACCGGCUAACUCCGUGCCAGCAGCCGCGGUAAUAC
rnacentral:rRNA from 1 species